rnacentral:rRNA from 1 species
UGGGGGAUAUUGCACAAUGGGCGAAAGCCUGAUGCAGCGACGCUGCGUGGGGGAUGAAGGCUUUCGGGUUGUAAACCUCUUUCGCUAUCGAACAAGGUCCGCCUAGGGUGGGUUGAGGGUAGGUGGAGAAGAAGCGCUGGCUAACUACGUGCCAGCAGCCGCGGUAAUACGUAGUGCGCGAGCGUUGUCCGGAAUUAUUGGGCGUAAAGGGCUUGUAGGCGGUUCGUUGCGCCUGCUGUGAAAACGCGGGGCUUGACUUCGCGCGUGCAGUGAGUACUGGCAGGGUUGAGGAUGGUAUGGAUCACUGGAAUUCCAGGUGUAGCAGUUGAAUGCGCAGAUAUCUGGAGGAACACCGAUGGCGAAGGCAGGUCACUGGGACAUUACUAACGCUGAGGAGCGAAAGCAUGGGUAGCUAACAGG